UACGUAGGGUGCAAGCGUUAAUCGGAAUUACUGGGCGUAAAGCGUGCGCAGGCGGUUGUGUAAGACAGAUGUGAAAUCCCCGGGCUCAACCUGGGAACUGCAUUUGUGACUGCACAGCUGGAGUGCGGCAGAGGGGGAUGGAAUUCCGCGUGUAGCAGUGAAAUGCGUAGAUAUGAGGAAGAACACCCGUGGCUAAGGCGGCUCUCUAGUACGGUACUGACGCUGAGACGCGAAAGCGUGGGGAGCGAACAGG
rnacentral:rRNA from 1 species